CAUGCAUUUUCGACUCGGGAGAAAGCUCUCGUAGGUCGACAACUUUUGCCCGCAAAAUCAAACGCACAUGCUGGACAUUGCAUACAUGCCUUUAGAGGGGUCGUCGCAUCAAUUGUCCCCCCAAAAGCACGAGAAAUUUUGGUGCGGCCGAGACCGCGCAAGUUUUCCAACAGGCAACAGACGUCGACGACGAUCAGUCGCAGCAGCUGGGCGCUCGUCCUUCUAAUCGAUCACGACGCCUCUACUCACCGGGCCGGCCUUGCUAGCUGCGGAGUAGUUGUGGAAUGUGGAUGUCUACAACGACAUUUAGUGUUGAAACAAUAAUUAUUAGCUAGCUAGCCAAACACCUAAACUGUACAGUAUAUGGACAUGUUAACGGUUAAAACACAAACUUAGCCAACCAAGUUAUACUUACUACAUGAUGCUAUUUAUUCAGUUCUACAUGCCCCUCGAUAAUCUCAAGAUCAAUCUAAUCACUUUGGACACGCGUGUGUGUAGUCAUACAGGUGUGAUACUACUAAAAAAACUUAACCGUGACGGACAAAAGGCAUUAACCGAGACGGUUUUUGUAACCGUCUCCGUCGAAAGGUCACGAUAAAUCAAUGAUUUAUCGAGACGGUUGUCAUGCCCGCCACGAUAAAUAAAAUAAAAAACAAAAAAACCCAUGGACAGGCCCAACGAGCCCAUCCAUAGGCCCGCCGAGCUCAUCAUGGGUUGCCGCCGCUGUCGUCGCUCAUCGCCGGGUCUGGUAUCCCCGCCACCAUAUCCUCCCCCAUGGACACCCGAUCCAGCCUCAGGGCCGCCGCCGCCAUGCUUGUGGAGAGGGAAACGGUGCUAGGGUUUCGAGGGGAGGGGGCGCCACCAUUGC
rnacentral:lncRNA from 1 species